CCUACGGGUGGCAGCAGUGAGGAAUAUUGGUCAAUGGACGAGAGUCUGAACCAGCCAAGUAGCGUGAAGGAUGACUGCCCUAUGGGUUGUAAACUUCUUUUAUAUGGGAAUAAAGUUCAGUACGUAUACUGUUUUGUAUGUACCCUGUGAAUAAGGCUCGGCUAACUCCGUGCCAGCAGCCGCGGUAAUAAGGAGGGUCCGAGCGUUUUCCGGAUUUAUUGGGGUUAAAGGGAGCGUAGGCGGGAGCGGAAGUCAGUUGUGAAAGUUUGCGGCUCAACCGUUAAAUUGCAGUUGAUACUGGGGGGCUUGAGUGCAGCAGAGGUAGGCGGAAUGCGUGGUGUAGCGGUGAAAUGCAUAGAUAUCACGAAGAACUCCGAUUGCGAAGGCAGCAUACUGGACUGUAACUGACGCUGAUGCACGAAAGUGUGGGUAUCAAACAGGAUUAGAUACCCGUGUAGUC
rnacentral:rRNA from 1 species